UUUCUUCCUGGUUUGAGACACAUUUGACAGACAGCCCUUGAGGCCAGCCCUUGUUUGAUUCUGCAUGUCUGAGUGAGGACGAAACUGUGGUCCAGUUCAGCAAGUGAUAUUGUUUAAGUACACUGACAACAGAUGAGCUACAACCCUUGGCACCCCAGGGCAUGUGCCACGCCCAGCUCCACCAACCUUGCCGUUUGAUGCCUCGCCACCUAAACUGCGAGGGGUGGAGGAAGUCAUCAAGAAGGCAAGGUCAGCAUCAGCCCCCUGGCCUAAUGGGCUCCCCUACAAGCUGUACAAGAACUGCCCCCAGGUGGUGCUAUGAAGGCUCAUAAAAGCAGUUUGGAGGAAGCAGCAAAAACCAUCAGAGUGGCAGCAAGCCAUCGGUGUGUUUAUUCCCAAAGAGCAGAACUCCCAUACCAUCAGCCAGUUCAGAAGCAUUACUUUGUUGAAUGUGGAGGGGAAGAUUUUCUUCUCUAUCCUGACAAGGAGAAUGACCAUCUUCUAAUGGGGAAGCUAGCCAAGCAAAAACACAUGGAGCGCCUGGCAAAGAUCAAUCGAAGCCAUCUGCCUGGGAAGCAAAAAGUGUGGUGCUACAACACACUAUAACAAAGUGAUAUGGCUGCUAAAGGUCUUUGAAAUUCCCACAUCAGAGGUCAGCAGGAUGCACAGUCUAGCACACAACUACAUCCUUAAGUAGUUUUGGCUUGCCCAGCUGCUUUUCACAUGCAUGCCUCGAACAUGCUGGAGUUCCCUAUGAAAUUAAUCAGGCUAGGGUACAAGCAAGAGAACAAGCAAGAGAAAGCCCCUUGUACUGGAGCUGGAGGAGCCCGCAGACCGGCUCAUAAGAGUGCGAAAUACCCUAUCCACACAUGCCGCAAGUGGAAGGUAGACCAUGCCGUCACCAGUUUGAAACACCAAGAGGUGACCGUUUCAGUUCAGACUGGUCAUUGGCCUCAACAGUUCUGGUCAAAAGCCUCCAAGAAACAGCAAAAGUCCAUGGUGGUGGACGCAGUCACCAGGCUAGAGCAGGGUAGUAGCAAAGAGCAUCCCAGAAACAGCAAAGCCUAUCCUAACAGCUUCGUCUAGCCAGGCAGCAUACUCCAAGCACCUGAACAAGAGAGGAACACAAUACUCAGACCUGGCAAAAAGUGGCAGAUGUUGGCAGACCACAGAAGGCAGCUGGUCUUACCAAGAGAGACCACUACAACCACUAUCCGGCCAAACAUCGUCAUGUGGUCUGCAGUGGAGAAAAGGUCCUCAUGAUCGAGCUUACCAUCCCCUGGGAGGAGGGCAUGAUAGCAGCCCAUGAAAGGAUGCAACUCAGUUACUAAGAGCUGGCAAUGGAGUGCCAAGAAACUCACUCGAAAGCAAGGGUUUACCCCGUGGAGGUCGGAUGCCGGGGCUUUGUCGGCAAAGCGCUAGUCCAACUGCUCUGUGGUGCUGGCAUGACAGGGCAAGCCUGAAAGCUGUGAAGGAACUGGGAGUUGAUGCAGAGAAAGCCAGCUAGUGGCUGUGGCUCCAGAGGAUGAGUAAUGUUUGGGGGCCAACAGCCCUGUAAAGGCACCCCCAAUACGCCCCCCCCCCACUGGAAGAUGUACUGGUAUAGCAAGCGAAACAUCAGUGAACGGCUUCCAGCUGAGGACCCUGCAGCUGACCUAAUGGCACUGGCGGAGGUGCGACAGGCUGAUAUGCGAAAGCAGGAAACACCCUCACCUGUAUAACGAUGUAUCACAAACGUGUCUGUUUUUCACCUGAUUUUAUCAUUCAGCACAUCUAGAGUUAGCUAAACAAAUAAUCCUUGUUUUAUAUUCAAAACUGUCUUAAAAAAAUAAAGAAAACAACAGUACACAAAAUUGCUCUUCCUCAUGAACAUAUUGUUUUAUAAACCAGUGUGGUGGGUAUGACAAGUGAUCCUGCUAUUGCUUUUGACUGCAUUUAGCUACAUGGGCGCUACAAUUAUAAAAAUGUUUAUACGGUAAAAUGUGCUGUCCAGGUUGACAAAGUUUUGAUUGUUAAAUAAUGAUUUAUAAAGGCCCAAUUUGUCAUUCAAGUCUUU